rnacentral:rRNA from 1 species
AUUGAGCCUUGAUGUGUAGGAUAGGUGGGAGGCUUUGAAGUGUGGACGCCAGUCUGCAUGGAGCCGACCUUGAAAUACCACCCUUUAAUGUUUGAUGUUCUAACGUUGACCCGUGAUCCGGGUUGCGGACAGUGUCUGGUGGGUAGUUUGACUGGGGCGGUCUCCUCCUAAAGAGUAACGGAGGAGCACGAAGGUUGGCUAAUCCUGGUCGGACAUCAGGAGGUUAGUGCAAUGGCAUAAGCCAGCUUGACUGCGAGCGUGACGGCGCGAGCAGGUGCGAAAGCAGGUCAUAGUGAUCCGGUGGUUCUGAAUGGAAGGGCCAUCGCUCAACGGAUAAAAGGUACUCCGGGGAUAACAGGCUGAUACCGCCCAAGAGUUCAUAUCGACGGCGGUGUUUGGCACCUCGAUGUCGGCUCAUCACAUCCUGGGGCUGAAGUAGGUCCCAAGGGUAUGGCUGUUCGCCAUUUAAAGUGGUACGCGAGCUGGGUUUAGAACGUCGUGAGACAGUUCGGUCCCUAUCUGCCGUGGGCGCUGGAGAACUGAGGGGGGCUGCUCCUAGUACGAGAGGACCGGAGUGGACGCAUCACUGGUGUUCGGGUUGUCAUGCCAAUGGCACUGCCCGGUAGCUAAAUGCGGAAGAGAUAAGUGCUGAAAGCAUCUAAGCACGAAACUUGCCCCGAGAUGAGUUCUCCCUGACUCCUUGAGAGUCCUGAAGGAACGUUGAAGACGACGACGUUGAUAGGCCGGGUGUGUAAGCGCAGCGAUGCGUUGAGCUAACCGGUACUAAUGAACCGUGAGGCUUAACCUUACAACGCCGAAGCUGUU